rnacentral:rRNA from 1 species
UACUCGCGGUCCAAGUCGCAGCCACAAUUAUUGGGUCUAAAACAUCCGUAGCUUGCUAUGUAAGUUCCGUGUGAAAUCUGGCUUCUUAAGAGUCAGGCGUGCAUGGAAGACUGCAUUGCUCGAGACUGGGAGACGUAAGGAGUACGAUCAAAGUAACGGUAAAAUGUUUUAAUCUUGGUCGGACUAACGUUAGCGAAGGCGCCUUACGAGAACAGUUCUGACAGUGAGGGAUGAAGGCUAGGGGCGCAAAAGG